UGAGGAAUAUUGGUCAAUGGGCGCAAGCCUGAACCAGCCAUCCCGCGUGAAGGAAGAAGGCGCUAUGCGUUGUAAACUUCUUUUCCAGGGGGAGAAUUUUUCCGUCGUGACGGGAAUUGACGGUACUCUGGGAAUAAGCAUCGGCUAACUCCGUGCCAGCAGCCGCGGUAAUACGGAGGAUGCGAGCGUUAUCCGGAUUUAUUGGGUUUAAAGGGUGCGUAGGCGGAUAGAUAAGUCAGUGGUGAAAUUCUGCAGCUUAACUGUAGACUUGCCGUUGAUACUGUCAGUCUUGAGUAUGGUCAAGGCAGGCGGAAUGUGUAAUGUAGCGGUGAAAUGCUUAGAUAUUACACAGAACACCGAUUGCGAAGGCAGCUUGCUGGGCCAUUACUGACGCUGAUGCACGAAAGCGUGGGGAUCGAACAGGAU
rnacentral:rRNA from 1 species